rnacentral:rRNA from 1 species
GUAGGGAAUAUUGGGCAAUGGAUGCAAGUCUGACCCAGCCAUCCCGCGUGCCGGAAGAAGGCCUUCGGGUUGUAAACUGCUUUUGUACGGAACGAAAAGGCUCUGGUUAAUACCUGGGGCUCAUGACGGUACCGUAAGAAUAAGCACCGGCUAACUACGUGCCAGCAGCCGCGGUAAUACGUAGGGUGCAAGCGUUAAUCGGAAUUACUGGGCGUAAAGCGUGCGCAGACGGUUUUGUAAGACAGACGUGAAAUCCCCGGGCUCAACCUGGGAAUGGCGUUUGUGACUGCAAAGCUGGAGUGCGGCAGAGGGGGAUGGAAUUCCGCGUGUAGCAGUGAAAUGCGUAGAUAUGCGGAGGAACACCGAUGGCGAAGGCAAUCCCCUGGGCCUGCACUGACGCUCAUGCACGAAAGCGUGGGGAGCAAACAGGAUUAGAAACCCGUGUAGUCC